CCUACGGGAGGCAGCAGUAGGGAAUUUUCCGCAAUGGGCGAAAGCCUGACGGAGCAACGCCGCGUGAGUGAGGACGGCCUUCGGGUUGUAAAACUCUGUUCUUGAGGAAGAAUUCCGGUCAGGUGAACAGUCUGACUGGUUGACGGUACUCAAGGAGAAAGCCCCGGCUAACUACGUGCCAGCAGCCGCGGUAAU
rnacentral:rRNA from 1 species